UUUUGUAGAAAAGGCCCAUGGAGUUGGUGGAAUAAUCCUUUAAUUCAUGGCCACUUACUCAGCUGGGCCAGAGCGCUUUAAUUAGGUCAGGUGGCAAUGACCGACAGAUCUCAUCCACAUAAAAGGAGGAAAACGGCAUCGCCUGAUCUCGCUGCUUUCUCUUCCUUAACUCCGUCUGCUCCAGAAGUUCUGUGCGUCCAUGAAUCCACCACAGACUACUCAGUAAAUAUACCACUUUAUGGUUAAAGGAA